rnacentral:tRNA from 4 species
GUGGACAUAGCUCAGCUGGUAGAGCGCAACCUUGCCAAGGUUGAGGUCGCGAGUUCGAACCUCGUUGUCCACUCCA